AGGUGACGUCGGUACAAGAAGAUAUGAACGUUUUAAGGUCGAAAGGUCAGUGGGCUAGGCCCAACUCGGGCCCAACCGGGUUAGGCCCAUUACCCACACCCUUUUAAAUGAAAUUUCAGGUCUUUCUCCUCAUUAUUCAUACAAAGAAGACCAGAAAGUUCUGGAGAGAGAGAGAGAAAAGAGUAUUGGAAAGAAGAAAAAUCAAUUUUGAUCAAAAUCCGAGCCCCGAAUCCCGAAGCCCAUGAAGACAAAAGUGUUGUAUGUCGCGUUGUCUUCAAUUUGAGGUAAAAAUCAACCAAGGAGGAGGGUGAUAACGUGGUGGUUGAAUUCUUAAGAUUUUGGACGAAACGGGAUUUGGAUUUGGAGAGGCGUAAGGAGCGAAUAAGGUACAGACGAUAGAUUUGCUGAUCCGCCCACUUAGGAUCCUAUUCUGCUUUCUUGGAGUGCUCCUUCGUCCGAAGCCUAUAUUUUGGGUACAGACUUUUCUGUUGCACAUAUGUAUGUUAUUUAGGGGUAUGACGGGGCCCUGUCCCGUCUUAUGUUUUUGUUGCUAUUCGUAGAGGUCUAUAGACAUACAUGUGGGUUGUGUAUAUGUUUUGGGUUGCUAUGUUCUAAGAUAGCCUUAUCGGCUUC